rnacentral:rRNA from 1 species
AGCGAACGCUGGCGGCAGGCCUAACACAUGCAAGUCGAACGAUCCUCCGGGAUAGUGGCGGACGGGUGAGUAACACGUGGGAACGUACCUUUAGGUUCGGGAUAACUCAGGGAAACUUGAGCUAAUACCGGAUAAGCCCUUUUGGGGAAAGAUUUAUCGCCUUUAGAGCGGCCCGCGUUAGAUUAGCUAGUUGGUGAGGUAAAGGCUCACCAAGGCUCCGAUCUAUAGCUGGUCUGAGAGGAUGAUCAGCCACACUGGGACUGAGACACGGCCCAGACUCCUACGGGAGGCAGCAGUGGGGAAUCUUGCGCAAUGGGCGAAAGCCUGACGCAGCCAUGCCGCGUGAAUGAUGAAGGUCUUAGGAUUGUAAAAUUCUUUUAGCAGGGACGAUAAUGACGGUACCUGCAGAAAAAGCCCCGGCUAACUUCGUGCCAGCCGCCGCAGUAACAC